AAUCAAUAAAUAAAAAAAGUUUGAAAUCUGUGAUGUCACACUGCCAAAUAAAUGUAAACGAAGUCUCUGCCCACCUACACUAGUUGAGUGUUGCUCCUCUAAUUUCCUUCUCUCUUUCCCUAUCUCUCCCUGCCAUCUGUGUUCUCCUUUCCCAUUCCCCCCGGUAAAGGGUAGCCAACUGGACGCUAUUCUGGUUAACCUCUCUGCCUUCUGCUUUUCUCUUUUCAGCUUCCAUGUGCUUG
rnacentral:lncRNA from 1 species